UUAAAAAAGAUAAAGUUACUAAGAGUUUAUAGUGGAUGCCUUGGGACUAGAAGUCGAUGAAGGACGUGAUAACCUGCGAUAAGCAACGGGGAAGUGGAAAUAGCUUUUGAUCCGUUGAUUUCCGAAUGGGGCAACCCGCUGAUAUUAACCCAUCAGCAUAUAUUAAUGAAUACAUAGUUAAUAUAAGAGACACCUAGGGAAGUGAAACAUCUCAGUACCUAGAGGAAAAUAAAAUAAGAAAAUGAUUCCCUAAGUAGCGGCGAGCGAACGGGGAAAAGCCCAAACCAGGUUUACCUGGGGUUGUAGGACUCUCUUACAGAGUUACAAAAUCAAUUGAUAGCAAAAAUAAUUGGAAAAUUAUGCCAUAGAAAGUGAAAGCCUUGUAUGCGAAAUCAAUUGAUCUCUUGAGAGUAUCCUGAGUACGACGAGACACGAGAAAUCUUGUCGGAAUCUGCGAGGACCAUCUCGUAAGGCUAAAUACUAUCUAGUCACCGAUAGUGAACCAGUACCGUGAGGGAAAGGUGAAAAGUACCCCGAGAGGGGAGUGAAAAAGUAUCCUGAAACUAUAAACUUACAAGAAGUCAGAGGGCGUUAAUGCCUGAUGGCGUGCCUAUUGAAGAAUGAGCCGGCGAGUUAUGUUUGCAUGCAAGGUUAAGUCGUAAAGACGGAGCCGUAGUGAAAGCGAGCCUUAAGAGGGCGCUAGUAUGUAGCCAUAGACCCGAAACCCAGUGAUCUAGUCAUGACCAGGUUGAAGGUGUAGUAAAAUACACUGGAGGACCGAACCGACGUUCGUUGAAAAGACCGCGGAUGAGUUGUGACUAGUGGUGAAAUUCCAAUCGAACUGGGUGAUAGCUGGUUCUCCCCGAUAUAGCUUUAGGGCUAGCGUCUGGAUUAAAGGAGAACGAAGGUAGAGCUCUGAAUAUACGAUGGCCUCAUCUAGAGGUACUGAGUAUAAUUAAACUACGAAUGUCGUUCUAACCAUACCAGGCAGUCAGUACGUGUGCGAUAAGGUUCAUGUACGUAACGGAAACAGCCGAUGAUCACCAAAUAAGGUCCCAAAAUUUAUGCUAAGUGGAAAAGGAAGUGUCACUACUAAUACAGCUAGAAUGUUUGCUUAGAAGCAGCAAUCGUUUAAAGAGUGCGUAACAGCUCACUAGUCUAGUGGUAAUGCGCCGAAAAUGUACCGGGGCUAAAGCAUAAUACCGAAUUUGUGGGUGUAUAAACUAUGUUUAUACGCGGUAGGGGAGCGUUCUUAUUGCGCUGAAGAUUGACCGUGAGGACAGUUGGAGCGAUGAGAAGUGAGAAUGCCGGCAUGAGUAACGAAUGAAGGUGAGAAUCCUUCACACCUAUUGACUAAGGUUUCCUGGGCCAGGUUCGUCCACCCAGGGUUAGUCGGGACCUAAGGCCAGGCCGAAAGGAGUAGCCGAUGGACAACAGGUUUAUAUUCCUGUACUUGGAUAUUGAGAAAUGGAGUGACAGAGAAGGUUAUGUCAGCCGGUCAUUGGUAGUACCGGCCUAAGCAUCAAGGUGGUCAUGUAGGCAAAUCCGCAUGGCGUAACAUUGAGGUGUAAAAGAUACCGAAACCCUCGGGGAGUAGGAAAGUGACAAAUAUCACGCUUUCAAGAAAAACUUCUAUCGCUAAUCAAUAUCUAACCCGUACCGAUAACGAACACACGUGGUCAAGAAGAAAAUUCUAAGGUGAGCGAGAUAACUAUAGCUAAGGAACUCUGCAAAAUCACCCCGUACGUUCGCAAGAAGGGGUGCUCAUAACUAUGAGCCUCAGUAAAGAGGCCGGGGGAACUGUUUACCAAAAACACAGCUCUGUGCUAAGUCGUAAGACAAUGUAUACAGGGUGACGCCUGCCCAGUGUCGGAAGGUUAAAGCGAGAUGUCAGCGGUUUUGCCGCGAAGCAUUGACCUGAAGCCCCGAUGAACGGCGGCCGUAACUAUAACGGUCCUAAGGUAGCGAAAUUCCUUGUCAGGUAAGUUCUGACCCGCACGAAUGGCGUAAUCAUCCCGGCGCUGUCUCGGCUAUAGACUCGGUGAAAUUUUAGUACCUGUGAAGAUGCAGGUUACCCGCAACUAGACGGAAAGACCCCAUGAAGCUUUACUACAGCUUGAUAUUGUGUUUUAGUAAUAUUUGUAUAGGAUAAGUGAGAGACUUUGAAGUGUGAGCGCCAGCUUGCAUGGAGUCAACCUUGGAAUAUCACUCUUAUAUUAUUGAAAUACUAACUUGUUCCCAUUAUCUGGGAAGAGGACAGUGUCAGGUGGGUAGUUUGACUGGGGCGGUCGCCUCCUAAAAUGUAACGGAGGCACCCAAAGGUAUUCUCAACAUGGUCGGAAAUCAUGUGUAGAGCGUAAAAGUAGAAGAAUGCUUGACUGUGAGGCCUACAAGCCGAACAGGAACGAAAGUUGGGUUUAGUGAUCCGGCGGUGCUGUAUGGAAAGGCCGUCGCUCAAUGGAUAAAAGCUACUCUGGGGAUAACAGGCUAAUCUCCUCCAAGAGUUCAUAUCGACGAGGAGGUUUGGCACCUCGAUGUCGGCUCAUCACAUCCUGGCGCUGUAGUAGGUGCCAAGGGUUUGGCUGUUCGCCAAUUAAAGUGGUACGUGAGCUGGGUUCAGAACGUCGUGAGACAGUUCGGUCCCUAUCUGUUGUGGGCGUAGGAAAAUUGAGAUGAUCUGUUCUUAGUACGAGAGGACCGGAAUGGACACACCGCUAGUGCUCUAGUUGUCACGCCAGUGGCACAGCUAGGUAGCUAUGUGUGGAAUAGAUAAGCGCUGAAAGCAUCUAAGCGCGAAACUAACAUCAAGAUGAGUUUUCCCACCAAUUUAUUGGAUAAGUUCCCUUGUAGACAACAAGGUUGAUAGGAUGGGUGUGUAAGUGCCGUGAGGCAUUGAGCUAACCAUUACUAAUAGAACGAGGACUUUACUUUUUUAAAU
rnacentral:rRNA from 2 species